UGCAUUCACUACUGUAAGUCGCUCUGGAUAAGAACGUCUGCUAAAUGUAAAUGU
rfam:Salmo salar isolate Sally breed double haploid chromosome ssa01, whole genome shotgun sequence.